AGGGACAGUAGCAAUACUGGACCGGCGCACGGGUGAGUAACGCGUAUGCAACCUGCCUUUAACCGGGGAAUAGCUCCGAGAAAUCGGAAUUAAUACCCCAUAACAUUUCUGGAUGGCAUCAUUCAGAGAUUAAAGUUCCGGCGGUUAAAGAUGGGCAUGCGUAACAUUAGCUUGUUGGUGAGGUAACGGCUCACCAAGGCUACGAUGUUUAGGGGGUCUGAGAGGAUGAUCCCCCACACUGGUACUGAGACACGGACCAGACUCCUACGGGAGGCAGCAGUGAGGAAUAUUGGGCAAUGGGCGAAAGCCUGACCCAGCCAUGCCGCGUGAAGGAUGACAGCUCUAUGGGUUGUAAACUUCUUUUGUAAGGGAAGAACCUCCCGAACGUGUUCGGGACUGACAGUACUUUACGAAUAAGCAUCGGCUAACUCCGUGCCAGCAGCCGCGGUAAUACGGAGGAUGCAGGCGUUAUCCGGAUUUAUUGGGUUUAAAGGGUGUGUAGGCGGGAUAAUAAGUCAGUGGUGAAAUCCUACAGCUUAACUGUAGAAUUGCCAUUGAUACUGUUAUUCUUGAGUAUAGUUGAGGUGGGCGGAAUGUGUCAUGUAGCGGUGAAAUGCUUAGAUAUGACACAGAACACCGAUUGCGUAGGCAGCUCACUAAACUAUAACUGACGCUGAGGCACGAAAGCGUGGGGAUCAAACAGGAUUAGAUACCCUGGUAGUCCACGCUGUAAACGAUGAUCACUCGAUGUUAGCAAUACACAGUUAGCGUCUGAGCGAAAGCAUUAAGUGAUCCACCUGGGGAGUACGAUCGCAAGAUUGAAACUCAAAGGAAUUGACGGGGGCCCGCACAAGCGGAGGAACAUGUGGUUUAAUUCGAUGAUACGCGAGGAACCUUACCUGGGCUUAAAUGUGGCACGACGUUCCGAGAAAUUGGAAUUCCCUUCGGGGCGAGCUACAAGGUGCUCAUGGUUGUCGUCAGCUCGUGCCGUGAGGUGUCGGGUUAAGUCCCAUAACGAGCGCAACCCCUAUCAUUAGUUGCCAGCGGAUAAUGCCGGGGACUCUAGUGAGACUGCCAGUGUAAACUGUGAGGAAGGUGGGGAUGACGUCAAAUCAGCACGGCCCUUACGUCCAGGGCUACACACGUGUUACAAUGGCCGGUACAAAGGGCAGCUACCUGGUGACAGGAUGCUAAUCUCAAAAGCCGGUCUCAGUUCGGAUCGAAGUCUGCAACCCGACUUCGUGAAGUUGGAUUCGCUAGUAAUCGUAUAUCAGCCAUGAUACGGUGAAUACGUUCCCGGGCCUUGUACACACCGCCCGUCAAGCCAUGGAAGCUGGGGGUACCUGAAGUUCGUGACCGCAAGGAGCGACCUAGGGUAAAACCAGUGACUGGGGCUAAGUCGUAACAAGGUA
rnacentral:rRNA from 1 species